GAUGAACGCUGGCGGCGUGCCUAAUACAUGCAAGUCGAGCGAACAGAUGAGGAGCUUGCUCCUCUGACGUUAGCGGCGGACGGGUGAGUAACACGUGGAUAACCUACCUAUAAGACUGGGAUAACUUUGGGAAACCGGAGCUAAUACCGGAUAAUAUAUUGAACCGCAUGGUUCAAUAGUGAAAGACGGUUUUGCUGUCACUUAUAGAUGGAUCCGCGCCGCAUUAGCUAGUUGGUAAGGUAACGGCUUACCAAGGCAACGAUGCGUAGCCGACCUGAGAGGGUGAUCGGCCACACUGGAACUGAGACACGGUCCAGACUCCUACGGGAGGCAGCAGUAGGGAAUCUUCCGCAAUGGGCGAAAGCUUGACGGAGCAACGCCGCGUGAGUGAUGAAGGUCUUCGGAUCGUAAAACUCUGUUAUUAGGGAAGAACAAAUGUGUAAGUAACUAUGCACGUCUUGACGGUACCUAAUCAGAAAGCCACGGCGAACUACGU
rnacentral:rRNA from 1 species